UACGAAGGGGGCUAGCGUUGCUCGGAAUCACUGGGCGUAAAGGGUGCGUAGGCGGGUCUUUAAGUCAGGGGUGAAAUCCUGGAGCUCAACUCCAGAACUGCCUUUGAUACUGAAGAUCUUGAGUUCGGGAGAGGUGAGUGGAACUGCGAGUGUAGAGGUGAAGUUCGUAGAUAUUCGCAAGAACACCAGUGGCGAAGGCGGCUCACUGGCCCGAUACUGACGCUGAGGCACGAAAGCGUGGGGAGCGAACAGG
rnacentral:rRNA from 1 species